rnacentral:rRNA from 1 species
CGAACGAGUUCUGAUUAUUGAAAGGUGCUUGCAUCUUGAUUUAAUUUUGAACGAGUGGCGGACGGGUGAGUAACACGUGGGUAACCUGCCCUUAAGUGGGGGAUAACAUUUGGAAACAGAUGCUAAUACCGCAUAAAUCCAAGAACCGCAUGGUUCUUGGCUGAAAGAUGGCGUAAGCUAUCGCUUUUGGAUGGACCCGCGGCGUAUUAGCUAGUUGGUGAGGUAACGGCUCACCAAGGCAAUGAUACGUAGCCGAACUGAGAGGUUGAUCGGCCACAUUGGGACUGAGACACGGCCCAAACUCCUACGGGAGGCAGCAGUAGGGAAUCUUCCACAAUGGACGCAAGUCUGAUGGAGCAACGCCGCGUGAGUGAAGAAGGCUUUCGGGUCGUAAAACUCUGUUGUUGGAGAAGAAUGGUCGGCAGAGUAACUGUUGUCGGCGUGACGGUAUCCAACCAGAAAGCCACGGCUAACUACGUGCCAGCAGCCGCGGUAAUACGUAGGUGGCAAGCGUUAUCCGGAUUUAUUGGGCGUAAAGCGAGCGCAGGCGGUUUUUUAAGUCUGAUGUGAAAGCCCUCGGCUUAACCGAGGAAGUGCAUCGGAAACUGGGAAACUUGAGUGCAGAAGAGGACAGUGGAACUCCAUGUGUAGCGGUGAAAUGCGUAGAUAUAUGGAAGAACACCAGUGGCGAAGGCGGCUGUCUGGUCUGUAACUGACGCUGAGGCUCGAAAGCAUGGGUAGCGAACAGGAUUAGAUACCCUGGUAGUCCAUGCCGUAAACGAUGAAUGCUAGGUGUUGGAGGGUUUCCGCCCUUCAGUGCCGCAGCUAACGCAUUAAGCAUUCCGCCUGGGGAGUACGACCGCAAGGUUGAAACUCAAAGGAAUUGACGGGGGCCCGCACAAGCGGUGGAGCAUGUGGUUUAAUUCGAAGCAACGCGAAGAACCUUACCAGGUCUUGACAUCUUUUGAUCACCUGAGAGAUCAGGUUUCCCCUUCGGGGGCAAAAUGACAGGUGGUGCAUGGUUGUCGUCAGCUCGUGUCGUGAGAUGUUGGGUUAAGUCCCGCAACGAGCGCAACCCUUAUGACUAGUUGCCAGCAUUUAGUUGGGCACUCUAGUAAGACUGCCGGUGACAAACCGGAGGAAGGUGGGGAUGACGUCAAAUCAUCAUGCCCCUUAUGACCUGGGCUACACACGUGCUACAAUGGAUGGUACAACGAGUUGCGAGACCGCGAGGUCAAGCUAAUCUCUUAAAGCCAUUCUCAGUUCGGACUGUAGGCUGCAACUCGCCUACACGAAGUCGGAAUCGCUAGUAAUCGCGGAUCAGCACGCCGCGGUGAAUACGUUCCCGGGCCUUGUACACACCGCCCGUCACACCAUGAGAGUUUGUAACACCCGAAGCCGGUGGCGUAACCCUUUUAGGGAGCGAGC